UUUACAAUCAGUGAAACUGAUCUUCCCGUGAAGAAGCGGGAAUUAUUCUAUAAGACGAGAAGACCCCAUGAAGCUUCAAAUAAGUAUCAACUGUUAACCUUACACCACCAGAUACCCAAUAGCUAUGACUACUAAUUUUUGGUUGGGGCGACCGCGGAGCAAAACAAAACCUCCACAAUGAAAAGACCUAAUCCCAUUAUUCAAGAACAACUGUUCUAACAAUCAACACAUUGACAUAAUUGACCCAAACCCCCCCCCUUGAUCAAUGAACCAAGUUACUCUGGGGAUAACAGCGCUAUCUAUUUCAAGAGUACAUAUCGACAAAUGGGUUUACGACCUCGAUGUUGGAUCGGGG
rnacentral:rRNA from 1 species